UCAACCAACUGAGCCACCCAGGCAUCUUGGUUUUUUCAAUUUUAAAUUACUAGGUGAACAUGAGAGUUUAUCAGGCUCACUAUCUCAGAUCCUAAAGAUAACAAUAAAGAAGAGAUGUUAGCAGUAAAAUGUCAUCAUACAAGACCGAAUUGAAUUUGGUCCUUCCUCAAUGCGCCUGCCCUUUCCCCAGACCAUUUGUUCUAGAUUCCCUGACUCUGGAGUUGGGAGCCUUAAACGCUUUCAUUCUGGAAUUUGCGGCCAUGAGGGGUGCCCUGUGGCCUUCAUCAACACAGACAUGGUUCCAUGUGAUGCUCCUAAGCCCCCUUGAGGCUGCUGCCAUAGAAAGAGAACCCUGGACUACGGAAACCGGGCAUCCUAGACUUUACGUGCAAUAAGUGAGGAAGCUCCAAAUUCCCUGGGACUGUUUCACUUCCAAGAAUCCAUUCUGUGAUGGAAACAGUGGGGGUUAGAAGAUCCAACGCCAUGAGAGACUCCAAGGGAAAUGCAAGGCGUGGUCCUCGAACAGUCGCAGACAUUCACAGGAACUAAAAGGACGUCUGCCACAUCUGACCCAGAAAACUAAUUUUAUAUCCUUUUUUCUCAUAAGUAAUACAGAGAAGGGUUUAUAUGAGGCCUUUUGGUAACAUAGUCUACAUUCUUUUAUUGUGUAUUUAUUUAUUCGGCAUCUACUACGUGAAUGAGAGAGGUCUUGCCCUUCCCAUCAUGUUGAGUCUAGGGAGAUAAACAGCUGGUAGGAUCACAUCUCUUAGGAUCCGAGAUUUGUCUAUCAUCAUCCAUCAACCCUUUCCCCUUUAAUCUGGUCAGAGAGCUGCUAGUGAAGAGUGUCUGAGGGAAACUCUAAGGAAACACAGACCCUAGAGGAAGCAGAAAAAAGCAAAGUUGACAGAAUGUCUUCGUAUCGAUCUACCUUUUCUUGUAUCUGCUUUUUCUUUUCUCUACAGGCCCCUCCCCGUCUCCAAUUUGAACAUAAACUCCAGAAGAACCAUGUUUUGGUCAUCAGUCUACCCCAAAGCCUAGAAAGGUGCCUGCCACAUAGAACUUGUGCCAAGCUUGGGGAGAAGGAACACUGAGGAUCAAAGGCCAAGAUCACAGAAAGCUCUGGGAAAACGAAAUCCUCCCAUGAGUAAGUCUGGGGCAUCCUGCUUUUAAAAACCUUUUGUGGGACCAUAAAAUACCUCACCUCACCACCUUUAAGAAGUUGGCUUCAGGAAUGAGAGCAAACUGAAUUGCACGGAGCUGAAAACAAGCCCACAGACUCAUGACCUGAGCCAGGAGCAGACUCCAGAGCAAAGUGUUGUAGACAAGCUGGUACUUUACAUGCCUAAGAACACGGUCAUUUACAACCCAGAGAAAUGAGCUAAAUGGGAAGGACUCUGGCUCCAGAAGAACACAACAGAGGCCUGGCCUUCGUAACUGUAAGCUGCACUCUGUUGAUUUCUUAUCCUUUGCUUUAAAACUCAGAGUUCUUCUACAGCGUUUGCUGUAUCUGCAAA